rnacentral:sRNA from 1 species
CUAGAAUCUAGUAAUCUAGAUCUAAGCACCUUUUAAAAAAGACCUAAAAUUAUUUUUUUAAACAUAUCAGUGUUAAUAAUAUAAUAAUAAAGACUAGAUCUAGAAUAUUCAAAAUCGAAAAAAGAUCUAUCUAGAUAUCUCCAUCUUCAUGAUCUUGUCUUAUUCAAACUUGUUCAAAGACAAAAGUUAUUAAAGUUAUUGAUAGAGAAUGUCUUCAUUUGAUUCAGUCAAGGAUGAAGUAGAUCCAGAAGUAGCUAGUUUCAUUCAGAUGGAAUCCCAAAGAGCAGAACUCCAAGCUCAGGUGCAUAAAUUAGCAGAUGUUUGUUGGGAGCAGUGCAUUGACAGGCCAAGAGAUAAACUUGACAGUCGGACUGAGACAUGUGUGUCUAAUUGUGUAGAGAGAUUUAUUGAUACCUCUUUGACCAUUGCAACCCGCUUUCAAAAACUUUUACAAGGUGCUGCCAAUAUGUAGUAUUGUAUAUAGAAUGCUUCAUUUUUUUUAUAUCUAAUUUGACAGUUGUCGCCUUGCAUGUGGGUACAGAUUUUUUCAAUUUUAAUGUUGAGUACAAAAUUGCCAGAUAUUCAUGUAUUGUGUGUGUAUGAAUGACAAUAGAUAUUUUAUUGUGUAUGAAUGCAUGCAUGUAAUAGUAUAACAUGUCAGUGUUAUUUUUAAAUGAUAAAAAAUUAAAAUCUCUUGUUCAGGUUUA